ACUUCUUCCCCGUGAUCUUUCUCGGGAUGUGAGACCCCAACCCCUAAGCCAACACUAUUUUAUAAAUGUUCAACGUAACUUAUUUUAUUGAGAACAAGCAAGUGCGUGUGGGUGGGGCGUGCUCUGGGGCUGUCCACGAUAGCGCGUUACGCGCGUGGGUUCGCUGCUCGAUUUGUCUCCUGGCGAGAAGAAAAAGGUCCCCGCGAGGAGAAAAAGGGGCCAGCCCUAUUCACGCGAACCGCACCGCCUCCCUAUUCCCCUUCCUCUCGUCCUCCUCAGUCCUCACCCACAGGUUCUAGCCACCUCCGGAUCCGGCCGCCGCCGGCCAUCCAGGAGGUGAGGACCAGGACGUCCAGGUCAUUCCCCUCUCCCGUAAUCCCUUUUGUCUAUGGAUUAGUACACCGGAUAAACGGAGACUUCAAAGUGGAGGCGAAGGACGUGACCUAGAGCUGCCGCCAUGCCCUAGCCUACCGCCUCCGCUUCAACCCCACCAGCCCCUCAUUUUUAGUUUGUAAUCUGAUACGAAUGUUGAUGAGCACAUAGCCUUGGAGCUGAGAACAGGAGGAAUCCGGGAAGACAGAUAGAGAUGGAGUGGGGAAGAAGACAGGGUGAGGUAGGAGGAAGAGGAGGUUGUGCGGCGCCCCGUGUUUGCCUUCUUCGUCAAACAUCCACAGAUGAAGGCCACAAUUUCAUCAACUAGUAAAAGGCUCAAGGGCUUGGCAUGUUGCAGGCCAAUGUGUUUCCUUCUCUUCACUAGAUCAGGUCCAAAGGGGGAAGCCAAAUGGCAGAGAUCUUGGUACCUAUGAAUUAUCAGCAAUGCUACUAUGAAUAUAAUGGCAACCACACAAAGAAGCCUAAGCUGUAGCAUGUACUCAUCAUGAACGAAGUUAAGAGUAUGUUUGCUGGUGAUAGAGGUGGAGCUGUUGAUCUUAUUGGCAGCAUCAAGAUAUCCAAGAUCCCUAUAGUUUCAUUUAUAAUGACUGUUAUAUCCAUAAACUGAAGAGUAUUGUAAAUUUCUGAUUGUUGCUCAACUUCAUGAAACUAAUGAAGUUGCACGUUAUAGAUGUUAGUUUAGUCUUUGUCCUAUGGCAAUUAGCAUAUCAUUCUUGCUGUGAGGAGAGAACAAGCUGAAAGUUUCAGUUAAAAGUUAAUUCCAUUGUCGAUAGAAAUGCUAGAAGGAAAUAAAUGGGAGCUUUAGACUUUGUGCAUUGUUCAUUGUAUAUGUUUCAUAUACCACUCCUUCAGCUAUAUGCCCUGAUAAACGAUUAUUAACUAAUGUACUUUUUCAUUUCUAGGAUGACUUUUGAUUUUCUCUAGGAAUUGAAUCCCCAAGUUAGUUUAUAGGAUACAUUGGACAUUCUAUUUUUUCCAAUGCAUUAAAGGUUCACUUUCCAUUCUCCAGCUCCUCAAAUGUACGCAACAUAAUAAUCAAUAAAUUGUAUUUAUUUGCACAUGGAAGUAUGAUUUUAUUGUUAGCCUACCAAGUUUUUUUCAUAAUUGAUGGGAAAAGAUCUCUUUCAUGGCUAUGUGAUAUAUCUAUAUGUCUAUUUUAUUUCAUCGCAUAAUUAACUCACUAUGUUAGCACCUAUCCGAAUUUCCUUCACCAUAUCUGAUAUCUGAAACUCGUUUCUAAUAGGAGAAAGAAUGUUGGAAGUGAAUGAAGCCUCCACCAAUCAGCAGGGAGCCUUUGACUCAAGGAUCAUGAAACUGAUACGAAGAUGGCCUGACUGCUGAAGAAUAUGAAGCAAGAUUUAAUUGCUCAGUGGAGGCAACAAUACAGAAAUCGCAAGCUUUGGUGUUGUUUAUGGGGACCUCAGAACAUUGCUUCUUUAUGCAGAAGUCAGACAGCAUUCUAUGUACUUCCCUGAUAUUUUAGACCUUCUCAGGAAGGUAAACUUCUUUUUAUGCAGUAUGGUAAAUUUAAAAAAUACCAGUCUUCCACUUUUUGAGAAUUUUAUUACUUCUGCCACGUGGUUGCUUUAUUGUUUUGGUGAUCUUGUUAUGCUCACGUGGCCCUUCAGCAUGUACCUCAUACAUGACCCUCCAUCCAGGUGAGACCCCCGAUAUAUUCUUGGAUCUUUAAGAGAUGGUGCAGAGAGCAAUAUUGAUUUUCUGUUUCAUUGUUCUAUUAAUAGAAGAAAACAAGCUUUUUUGUUCAGGUUUCAGAUCUCUUGAGUUCAGUGGAACUCAUAGAAGAAUGGAAACUUUCUGUUCUAUGGUGUCCCACUGUUCCAGGUUUUAGGGAUGAUCACUAGACUUGGAAGUGUGAAUUUAUUGUUCUCGCAUGUGGGUAUGUACCUACUGACGUGUAUAAAACCACGACUUUUUUCUUUGACAAUUCUUUCCUUUCACAUUCAUAGCAAGAAUAAAUAAUUGUACCAUGACCUGCGUUGUCCAUGCCAUUUAUCUCUAUUGUGUGUUUAAGAUAAAUGGCAUUUAUCUUAAAAUUGUUCAAGAAACUAUUUUGCAACAAGUUUCAUUCAAAUUGUUAAAGAAACUAUUUUGCAACUGUAAGAAUGUAAGUUAAUAAGUUUUGGGAUGGUUUUUUGGAAACAUGGAUGAUAUAGGUGGAGAGUUUGGCACGACACACUGGCCUGGGCAGUCGCAGCCCAUACCUUUCCUUUACCAAUGUUCUUACUUCCCACGUCAAAUGUUUCUUUCCAUGUAGGAGUACAUUCCCAUUUCUCUAGGAUGCUCGAUAUUUUGGCCACCCACGAUAGGGUUCUAAGAAUUGAUAUCACAAUUACUAGGUUUCCAAGUAUUACAUUCAUAUUUUGUCUUUGAACCGUGCUAUUUUUCAGUUUAAGUUUGUUCUUGGUACAUCAUUUAUUUACAGAUUCUCCAAAUAGACGAGCAAGGCAACCGACCUGAGGAGAGACCUGCUGAUUUGGGUUUGCGGGAGCAUGUAUGUGGCUUGACUAUGAUGACCGCAAUAUGGGGAUUUCUAGGUUUCCUCUUCAUGUGUUAUUCAAAAGUCGAGUUGAUUGCAGUGUACCAUUGCAUUGGUGAUAUGUGUUUACCAAUAUAAUGUUAUAGUAGCUAAAUUUACUUGGUGCGAUGUGUUUACCAACUCAUGGUAUGCUCGGUAACUACAGGGACUUCAUGGUAGAUUUGCUCAAAAGACAAGCAAGGCAAUCGAGCUGCGGAGAGACCCGCUGAUUUGGACUUGCGGGAGUGUGUCUUGGAUGGCUUGACUAUGAUCUCCGUGUUAUAAGGAUAUCUGAAUUUCCGAUUCAUGUCUUACUCAAAGUCUAGAUGACCAAAAUCUAACUUUGUACUGGUUCGUAUGUGUUUACCAAAUCUACAGUAGGUGUGCUACAAAUUCUUCAACCAACAAUUUAGUGUACAUGUGUUUUGCUUGUAGCUUGCUCAAGGCGCUGCUGGCAUGAUAGCUCCUAUGCUCAGAUCAAACAUUCCAUUACCCAGGUGUAUGAAUCUAUAUUAUUUUAUCUUUAUCUUCUGAUGUGGCUAUUAUGAGAAAAAAUUUCAACACAUUGUUUGUAACAUUGAAGAAAGCUAUUAACAGUUCUAAUCAACGACACAUGAUUUAUUUCUUAGCAAGUAGUUUGUGACUUUUUUUCUAAAAUGUAAUAGGUAGUAACUUUUGAGGUUCAUGUGCUUAUAGUGUUACUUAAUUAGUGAGUUGGUGCUAGAUCAGUGUCCCAACACAGUGAUGAUAUGCCUCAUAUAAGAGCAAUAUUCUUCUCUGAGGAAAGCUGAACCACAAGACUCAAAACCAAACUUGAGUCUGAAUGAAAAUUUCAUUCUGCACGAUUUAAGUUCGUUUUGAAGUUUAACUUUUCUAUUGACUUGUCCUCUGUACAUGUUUCAAGCAAUAGCUUUGAUCUUAAAUGGAGACUAUUAAUUGGAGUGUUA